rnacentral:rRNA from 1 species
UACAGAGGUCCCAAGCGUUGUUCGGAUUCAUUGGGCGUAAAGGGUGCGUAGGCGGCGCGGGAAGUCGGGUGUGAAAUCUCGGAGCUUAACUCCGAAACUGCAUUCGAUACUGCCGUGCUUGAGGACUGGAGAGGAGACUGGAAUUUACGGUGUAGCGGUGAAAUGCGUAGAGAUCGGAAAGAACACCAACGGCGAAAGCACUCUGCUGGGCCGACACUGACACUGAGAGACGAAAGCUAGGGGAGCGAAUGGG